rnacentral:rRNA from 1 species
CAGCAGCCGCGGUAAGACAGAGGAUGCAAGCGUUAUCCGGAAUGAUUGGGCGUAAAGCGUCUGUAGGUGGCUUUUCAAGUCCGCCGUCAAAUCCCAGGGCUCAACCCUGGACAGGCGGUGGAAACUACCAAGCUGGAGUACGGUAGGGGCGGAGGGAAUUUCCGGUGGAGCGGUGAAAUGCGUUGAGAUCGGAAAGAACACCAACGGCGAAAGCACCCUGCUGGGCCGACACUGACACUAAGAGACGAAAGCUAGGGGAGCAGAUGGGAUUAGAUACCCCCGUAGUCCCUGUCUCUUAUAC